ACUAACAUGCAAGCCAACAGGUCAUCGGUCAGGUGGUCAUUAGAGCUAUGGGGUAAAGCAGAGGGCGGAGGUGAUGGGAAAUGCUGGUGGGGCCAAACACGUGACUCU